GGGUGCGAUAAUGCCAGCACUAAAUCACCGGAUCCCAUCAGAACUCCGAAGUUAAGCGUGCUUGGGGGCCAGAGUAGUACUAGGAUGGGUGACCCCCUGGGAAGUCCUCGUGUUGCACUCC